UUUACCUUUAAAAAAAUCAUAAUAAUGUAAAAGCGGACGUACUGGACCGUGACGUUAAUCCAGCAGCACAUCUUUGUCAGGGUGACAGUCCGUUAGGGACGCAGCUAUAAAUAAAGGCUGCUUAUAGCUGCGUCUUUAACGGACGUAGGGUGGACCACCUUCCACUCGAUGAAACAGGCCUUGGACCGGUCGAUGGUCACGACAGUGAGUAUUAUAUUCUUUGCUCACGACCCGGUACGCCAGUUUGUUAGAACCUUAAAUCGAUGACAUUGACAUCUAUGACAACUCGGUCGGCGUCUUGACACUAUCCGUCUACUCGUUAUUUACAAAACAUACAAAAGAAAAAUGAGCAAGCUUAACCGCAAUAAAAUUCACAAACUUAACUCUUAAUAUGGAUUACAAAUGAAAUGACUAUGGGGGUAUCAUAGAGCAUGGGUUUGCUCCGCUCCCUAGUCAUAAUUUACUUAUUUACCUACGUUACCGCUUAUUUGGGCUUAGUUGGCGCUCUGUUGUAUGUCAGAAGUUGCAUAGUGCAGCAUGAAUUUGCAAGUCCACCUGAAGAAAUAUAUACGGAACGUUAAGAUUGAAACACCUGUUAAAGAGUUGAAAAAUAUUUAUUAUUACAAAAUGUAAAACUCUCUGAAAUGGACGGCUUAUGAAAACAUUAAGUUUCCUGAUAUAUUUUGAUAGCGCGUCGAAAACGGAAUAAUUGCGAAAAUCACGAAUUCGAAAGACGCCAUGGUAAGUGUCACAGACACAGGAUUGUCACCACUGUCACCAUAAUAUAAAGUGCAUCGAGUCUAGAAUUAUUUGCGAUUUUUGAAAUGUACUCCAUUUCAACUACUGCUCCUUAAACAUUUGCUUAUACAUAGGUCAUACUCAAAUUCUACUGUAUUUUAGGCCCGAGCCUAUGUCAAGCCUUUUCGUAUUCAAAAUUAUGUGUUUCACAAUUGAUGUGGCAUUAUUUUGAAUGGCAUAUUAUGAACUCUAGUCGCCCAGGGGGGCCUACCGCGAAACCCGAAAUUCACAAAUUGCGGGGAUCUUUCUCUUUUACUCUUACUAAGACGUAAAGACGUAAUUAGUGACAGAGAAAAAUGCUCGCAAUUGACAAAUUUCGAUUUUCGCGGUUAUAGUCAUGCCAUUGUAUUUUGAAUCUUCAUCGGGUGGCUAAAAGAUUGAAUACAAAUGCAAUAUGGAAUACUGCAUGACAUGUAACUUAACCAAUAAACCAAUAGCUUGCUCCUA